GCCACGGUGGAGCAGUUGGUAGCACAAGCGCCCGGAGUGCGAGAGGUACGCGUUCGAUUCCAGCCCGGGCCA